rnacentral:miRNA from 1 species
CAUGCUAGGAUAGAAAGAAUGG